GGCCCCGUAGUUCAAUUGGAUAGAAUGACAGAUUCCGGUUCUGUUGGUUGGGGGUUCGAAUCCCUCCGGGGUCA
rnacentral:tRNA from 1 species